CUACGGGAGGCUGCAGUGAGGAAUAUUGCACAAUGGGGGGAACCCUGAUGCAGCAACGCCGCGUGGAGGAUGACGCAUUUCGGCGUGUAAACUCCUUUUAUAUGUCAAGAAAAUGACGGUAGCAUAUGAAUAAGCACCGGCUAACUCCGUGCCAGCAGCCGCGGUAAUACGGAGGGUGCAAGCGUUACUCGGAAUCACUGGGCGUAAAGGACGCGUAGGCGGGUUGGAAAGUCAGGUGUGAAAUCCUACAGCUUAACUGUAGAACUGCACUUGAAACUUCUAAUCUAGAGUAUGGGAGGGGGAGAUGGAAUUAGUGGUGUAGGGGUAAAAGCCGUAGAUAUCACUAGGAAUACCUAAAGCGAAGGCGAUCUCCUGGAACAUUACUGACGCUAAGGCGUGAAAGCGUGGGGAGCAAACAGGAUUAGAUACCCCAGUAGUC
rnacentral:rRNA from 1 species